GCCUGGUGAUGCUGUGUGGUCCUGCUCCGACUCCCGUUCCCUGCAUCCAGCCGCAGUGGUGAUAUUCAGCUACACAGCGUGGUGUGUGGUCAUGGCUAAGGAGAGACAGGUGACGGGGAACUGGUCGAGAUGCAGAUUGCUAUCAAAAUCACGUGGUACUAAGCCCACACUGAAGUAUUAUAUGGUAUGGAGGCAUUAUGGAGUGGACACCUAGUUUUGUUCACACAUUGCAGUUGGUCGUCAACAUGGUCCACAAAGAAGUCUUGGCUGCACGUCUCUUGGAAAAGUUAUCUAUUGAGACCGGGGCACCAGACUACAAAGACCAGAAUGCAUUGAGAAAAUUGCGCUGACAUGAGCGGCCGAUACGUCAUUUCCGCUUUCGGUUCCGGCGGAAACACCAUAUAUGGACCGCAAAUUGGAAUCAAAGAACUACGAAUCCCAUAAGGCCAAGCGCGGCCAGCGCGAUUGAUCAAGAAUGAAUGCUUCUGCACCAAAUAUACGAACUUUAUGGAUUUGUCUCCAAUAACAUUAUAUAAACCGCGAUGUAUCUUAUUUCUUUAUUGCCUUUUGAUCACAAUUUUACAAGUAAUGGAAUUAAGGAACAGGAAGUCGGCUAAUUGACGGCAUCACUUCCUGCUACUCACAGAUAGGCCAGUGUCCUUAUAAAUACCUAGUCUCCUCACAGUUCAGAUAUGUCUUGACAAAGGUCUCACGACCGAAACGCGUCGACAUUAUCUGGACUGUGAGUAGCAAGAUUUCCAUUUUCCUCUUUUAAUUUAAUUUUUAAACGGCCAACAAAUUUAUUUUUUUAUGGACAAUUAUUGUUUUGUAUUGAACC